rnacentral:rRNA from 1 species
AACGAACGCUGGCGGCAGGCCUAACACAUGCAAGUCGAACGAGAUCUUCGGAUCUAGUGGCGGACGGGUGAGUAACGCGUGGGAACGUGCCCUUCUCUACGGAAUAGUCCUGGGAAACUGGGUUUAAUACCGUAUACGCCCUUCGGGGGAAAGAAUUUCGGGGAAGGAUCGGCCCGCGUUGGAUUAGGUAGUUGGUGGGGUAAUGGCCUACCAAGCCGACGAUCCAUAGCUGGUUUGAGAGGAUGAUCAGCCACACUGGGACUGAGACACGGCCCAGACUCCUACGGGAGGCAGCAGUGGGGAAUCUUAGACAAUGGGGGCAACCCUGAUCUAGCCAUGCCGCGUGGGGGAGGAAGGUUUUGGAUCGUAAACCCCUUUUGUCAAGGAGAAGCUCUGACGGUACUUGACGAAUAAGCCUGGCUAACUCCGUGCCAGCAGCCGCGGU